rnacentral:rRNA from 1 species
CCCUUAGAUGUCCUGGGCCGCACGCGUGCUACACUGACGCAUACAGCGAGUACUCCCGGCUCCGCAAUGGCAGCUGGUAAUCAUCAAUAUGCGUCGUGAUGGGGGUAGAUCUCUGGAAUUUUUGAUCUUGAACGAGGAAUGCCUAGUAAGCGCAGGUCAUCAGCCUGCGUUGAUUAAGUCCCUGCCCUUUGUACACACCGCCCGUCGCUCCUACCGAUUUCGAGUGGUCCGGUGAACCUUUCGGACCGGGAGCAGCCUCGUGCUGCGCCUGGAAAGUCAAGUAAACCACAUCACUUAGAGGAAGGAGAAGUCGUAACA